rnacentral:rRNA from 1 species
AUGAACGCUAGCUACAGGCUUAACACAUGCAAGUCGAGGGGCAGCAUGGCCUUAGCUUGCUAAGGCCGAUGGCGACCGGCGCACGGGUGAGUAACACGUAUCCAACCUGCCGUCUACUCUUGGACAGCCUUCUGAAAGGAAGAUUAAUACAAGAUGGCAUCAUGAGUCCGCAUGUUCACAUGAUUAAAGGUAUUCCGGUAGACGAUGGGGAUGCGUUCCAUUAGAUAGUAGGCGGGGUAACGGCCCACCUAGUCUUCGAUGGAUAGGGGUUCUGAGAGGAAGGUCCCCCACAUUGGAACUGAGACACGGUCCAAACUCCUACGGGAGGCAGCAGUGAGGAAUAUUGGUCAAUGGGCGAGAGCCUGAACCAGCCAAGUAGCGUGAAGGAUGACUGCCCUAUGGGUUGUAAACUUCUUUUAUAAAGGAAUAAAGUCGGGUAUGGAUACCCGUUUGCAUGUACUUUAUGAAUAAGGAUCGGCUAACUCCGUGCCAGCAGCCGCGGUAAUACGGAGGAUCCGAGCGUUAUCCGGAUUUAUUGGGUUUAAAGGGAGCGUAGAUGGAUGUUUAAGUCAGUUGUGAAAGUUUGCGGCUCAACCGUAAAAUUGCAGUUGAUACUGGAUAUCUUGAGUGCAGUUGAGGCAGGCGGAAUUCGUGGUGUAGCGGUGAAAUGCUUAGAUAUCACGAAGAACUCCGAUUGCGAAGGCAGCCUGCUAAGCUGCAACUGACAUUGAGGCUCGAAAGUGUGGGUAUCAAACAGGAUUAGAUACCCUGGUAGUCCACACGGUAAACGAUGAAUACUCGCUGUUUGCGAUAUACUGCAAGCGGCCAAGCGAAAGCGUUAAGUAUUCCACCUGGGGAGUACGCCGGCAACGGUGAAACUCAAAGGAAUUGACGGGGGCCCGCACAAGCGGAGGAACAUGUGGUUUAAUUCGAUGAUACGCGAGGAACCUUACCCGGGCUUAAAUUGCAGAUGAAUUACGGUGAAAGCCGUAAGCCGCAAGGCAUCUGUGAAGGUGCUGCAUGGUUGUCGUCAGCUCGUGCCGUGAGGUGUCGGCUUAAGUGCCAUAACGAGCGCAACCCUUGUUGUCAGUUACUAACAGGUUCCGCUGAGGACUCUGACAAGACUGCCAUCGUAAGAUGUGAGGAAGGUGGGGAUGACGUCAAAUCAGCACGGCCCUUACGUCCGGGGCUACACACGUGUUACAAUGGGGGGUACAGAGGGCCGCUACCACGCGAGUGGAUGCCAAUCCCCAAAACCUCUCUCAGUUCGGACUGGAGUCUGCAACCCGACUCCACGAAGCUGGAUUCGCUAGUAAUCGCGCAUCAGCCACGGCGCGGUGAAUACGUUCCCGGGCCUUGUACACACCGCCCGUCAAGCCAUGGGAGCCGGGGGUACCUGAAGUGCGUAACCGCGAGGAGCGCCCUAGGGUAAAACUGGUGACUGGGGCU